AGCGAACGCUGGCGGCAGGCUUAACACAUGCAAGUCGAGCGGGCCCUUCGGGUUCAGCGGCGGACGGGUGAGUAACACGUGGGAACGUACCCUUUGGUUCGGAAUAACGCUGGGAAACUAGCGCUAAUACCGGAUACGCCCUUUUGGGGAAAGGCUUGCUGCCGAAGGAUCGGCCCGCGUCUGAUUAGCUAGUUGGUGUGGUAAUGGCCUACCAAGGCGACGAUCAGUAGCUGGUCUGAGAGGAUGAUCAGCCACACUGGGACUGAGACACGGCCCAGACUCCUACGGGAGGCAGCAGUGGGGAAUAUUGGACAAUGGGCGCAAGCCUGAUCCAGCCAUGCCGCGUGAGUGAUGAAGGCCUUAGGGUUGUAAAGCUCUUUUGUCCGGGACGAUAAUGACGGUACCGGAAGAAUAAGCCCCGGCUAACUUCGUG
rnacentral:rRNA from 1 species